CUUGGUGCACAUUAGGCCACGAUAAAUGCCGGCAAAUGAAUGAACAGCACAGUGGAAAGCAGGCUGGACAGUGAUUAAGACUCCUUAUCCAGGGCUCUCUUUACUUCCUCUGGCUUUUAACUGGGCUGGGGACUGGCUGGUGGUUCCAAACUUGGAUGGAGAAGAGGAGUGUCCUUUUUAGGAUUCUCUUAAACCCACCAUGCUGCUCUCCCGCUGUGGUCCCCAAGCCCCCAGCUCACCUCUAGGAUCUGGUGGAAGCCGAUCCCUUAGAGACAUCGUCUAGAGGUGGAACCUCAGAAUUAAAUCUCUACUGAAGAGGAGAAGAGUAGGAAGCCCCUGGGUACAGCCAGAAGUGGAGAUCUCUUAGGGCCUCUCUCUCAGGACAGAUCCAGGAGCAGGGAGAGCCACAGUGGGAUCGUUACCUCUGAACGUUUACAGAGAAGAGGAAACAGAGUCAUUUAAAAGCAUGAACGACAGCAGCCUCCACAUUCAGGCGAAUGGAGAACUUUGUCUCGGGAACAAAUCACUCCUUGUUAGCAGGGGCUCCGAAGUGGGUUUCUUAAAUUACGCCCGGGUUUGGGGGGGGGGGGGGGCUUGGGUAGUGGCUCUCAGCCCAGUCAGCCCCAAGCCCCCUUUGGAUGAAAAUAUUUUGUAAUGUGCCCUUCACCAAGCUGAAAUGAAAUUCAUAAAUAAUCACACAAGCUUUAAAAAAAAUCAAUGUAAUACUCUAACCAUAAUAUGGAGGAGAAAUAAAAGGAGAGUCAUUUAUAAUAAAAUAAUUUCAGGAUGAAAAUGCACCAGCCGUCUACAGCAGGAGAUAGGAUGACGUGGCCCCAGGCUUGCUCCUAGAGGUGGGGCCACCGGGAACACCACGGCCACAGAGGCAGACGGACCCAGGUGGUUCCAGGGGUGACUCAGACCCCGUGAGCUGUGCUGUCGCUGCUGAUGUGAAAUGGGCAACAGGUCUUGGCAGAAUUCCGAACAAAACAACGGAAAAUCUUCUCUCUCUGUGUACAUGAGAGUUGCAUUCCAGGAAAAGUCUGUGUGUA